rnacentral:lncRNA from 1 species
AGACUAUGGCGGCUCUCCAGCUCCAGUUUCAGUUUCUCCAGCCUGGAGAUGAGCUCGGCGGCGAAGGCAGCAGGUUCCACAGGCGUCAUCUCCUUGGGCAGGCGAAAAUGAAGAAAGCUGCUGCGGGCUAGUAGCAGAACACUGCUGAGCUCGGCUGCCUGAAGCCGAUCUAUCAAGGGAAAACGGAACAUCUCCAAACCAAAAUUUUUCCAUUCUUUGAUUCAGGAACUAUAUCAAACCAUCACUCCAUUACCACCACAUCCAAAAGAACCAUUUAAUUUCCCCAGUCCGGCCACUCCUUUCUGUUCCUUCACUCCAAAUCUCAGGCAUUGCCCACCCCCACCCCCACCCCUACACCUCCCAGCUCCUGUAAUAAUUUAGGGCCUCACUACCCGUGUCCUGGUGUCCUGUCAUCUAUACUCACCGGAAAAUGAGGUAGAGACACUUGGCCAUUGGCCUUCACACUGCGAUGCAUCUCUCUCUGGAGCUGUUUCUUACUCCCCAUGCGGUAAGGAGGGAUUCCAUCUCU